GGGGCUAUCAGCUUGUUUGUUUUGUUUCUUUUUUUUUCUUCCGUUCUUGGUACAUGCCUAAAGACCAGGCCAAGUCACACUAGCCACUCGUCAAUCCAUUCACAAGUCACUACCACCAUAAGGCAUAAGCAUCACUAGUACCAAUUAUACCCAUUGCUAAAACAUAAUAAAUCUAGAAGCAUGCAUGUAGUGACUCCACAUAUCAG
rnacentral:lncRNA from 1 species